GAUGAAGAACGUAGCGAAAUGCGAUAAGUAAUGUGAAUUGCAGAAUUCAGUGAAUCAUCGAAUCUUUGAACGCACAUUGCGCCCGCCAGUAUUCUGGCGGGCAUGCCUGUUCGAGCGUCAUUACAACCCUCAGGCCCCCGGGCCUGGCGUUGGGGACCGGCGGAGCCCCCCGUGGGCACACGCCGUCCCCCAAAUACAGUGGCGGUCCCGCCGCAGCUUCCAUCGCGUAGUAGCUAACACCUCGCGACUGGAGAGCGGCGCGGCCACGCCGUAAAACACCCAACUCUUCUGAAGUUGACCUCGAAUCAGGUAGGAAUACCCGCUGAACUUAAGCAUAUCAAUAAGCGGAGGA
rnacentral:misc_RNA from 1 species